rnacentral:lncRNA from 1 species
UUCACCUGUAAUUAGGAUUAGGAUUAAGAGAUAAUCCUAUAUCCUGGUUAGGGGCCAACUGGGCCCAAAGUCAGAUUUGGUUUGGGCUAAAAAUAAGCCAAACAAAUGAAUUGAAGAGCCAGGCGGUGGCACCGCCUGGCUGGGCGGUGACACCUCCUUGGCUGGGCGGUUGCACCAUCCAGCACCCGAGCGCUGGGCGGUGGCACCGCCUGGCUGGGCGGUGGAACUUCCAGCACAGGGAACCCUAAGAGAAUUCAAAUUUUGGAGCCUAAAAUUUGAAUCCUCUUGAGGCCUAUAAAUACCCCUCAAAUCUCAGCUGAGGUUACAACUUUUGAGAAGCAUUUUUGAUUGAGAGAAAAGUCUUAGAAAGUCUUAGCAAGUCUUGUUUUCAAUUUGCUAGAGAGUUCUCCUCCUCCUUUCUUAUUGAAAAUUUGUAAGAGGUUGAGCUGCUUGUAAAAGGUUGUAAGAGGGGUGUUUACCCUUCCAUUUCAAGAGACUUGCUAGUGGAAGGUGGGAGCCUCAUCGAAGAGGGGCUUCGCAAGUGGAGUAGGUCAUUUGACCGAACCACUCUAAAAAUCGGCGUAAUCUCUGGUUUGCUUUUUAUUAUUGUCAUUUACAUUACUGCAAAUCUUCUUACUGCUUUAGUUCCUCAUUACUCUUGCUGCGCAACUUUAAGAAUACGCCUUCAAGUUAAAUUUCUCAAGUUUCGUUCUUAACGUACGAAAGAUUUUGAUUAAAAUCGAAGUUUUAAUCCGCUGCACUAAUUCACCCCCCCCUCUUAGUGCCGCUCCGAUCCUAACAAGUGGUAUCAGAGCAAGGUUAUCUCUCAUAUUUGGUUAAAUACCCAAGAGAGAUGGCUUACUCCGGCAUGCAAGAGGGUCAUUCUAUUGCACGACCACCUUUGUUUAAUGGGUCGGAUUACACAUAUUGGAAGACUCGCAUGAGAAUCUUCCUCAUUUCUAUGGACUUUG